rnacentral:rRNA from 1 species
GACGAACGCUGGCGGCGUGCUUAACACAUGCAAGUCGAGCGGUAAGGCCCUUUCGGGGGGUACACGAGCGGCGAACGGGUGAGUAACACGUGGGUGACCUGCCCUCAGCUCUGGGAUAAGCCUGGGAAACCGGGUCUAAUACUGGAUAUGACUCCAUGACGCAUGUUGUGGGGUGGAAAGCCUUGUGCGGCUGAGGAUGGGCCCGCGGCCUAUCAGCUUGUUGGUGGGGUGAUGGCCUACCAAGGCGACGACGGGUAGCCGGCCUGAGAGGGCGACCGGCCACACUGGGACUGAGACACGGCCCAGACUCCGUACGGGAGGCAGCAGUGGGGAAUCUUGCGCAAUGGGCGAAAGCCU